GAACCAGGGGAGCCAAUGGUGAAGUCUUGGUCCAAGUUCCAAGGCCUGAGAACCAGAAAUGCCAAUGUCCAAAAGCAAGAGUGGAUGAAUGUCCCAGCUCAAAUACAGAACACCAGUGUUCCCUUCCUCUGCCUUUUUGUUUUAUUGGGCACUCAGUGGACCGGAUGAUGCCCAUCCACACUGCAACCCAACAUAGAGGAAAAGCUGAACACCACCAACAUUUUCAGGAGCUGGCUGCCUACAGAAAGCCUGUGUUCUGCUCUGCUUCCCUAUGUGAAAAUUACCAGAGACAGCAUAACAAAGCAUGUG